ensembl:lincRNA Gm14250 predicted gene 14250
GGAAGAGGGUCGGUCCAUCUGUGUCUGCUACAUUUGGUCCCCAGCACCUUGGGGCUCCAUUGUUCUUUGCUGGACAUCCAGACUGGAUGGGCUGCUCAGCCAGCUGCCUUCCUGCCUCUUUUCACUGAUGGGCACCUGUACCGUGUCAGGCAUUGUGAUGUCGGAUGUGUUGGACUCAGAACCCACUAUUCUGCAGACCCACUGCUCAGGAAGAAGACAUUUCUGUAGUCAAGCCCAUUCCGAAGUCUUUGUGCAAAAGAUGGGGUUGGAGAACAGCGGUGCAUCCUAAGAGAAGUGGGAGCGUUAAGGUUUGGAUGUGAGGCACUUCAGGUGGCUCAGGGUGAACCGUCAGUGUGAAGACUGUGGCCACACGGGCAGAUAAGCAAAUAGAAGUAGACACCCCAGGAAAAGACACACAACCGACAUGGAGCUCUCUACAGAGGUGCGUUUGUUUAUGGUGGAAAUGGUCUACAUAAUUACGGAAGCUGGGAAGUUCUAUCAUCUGCCACUUGCAGCUUCAGACCUCAGGCAUGCUGGUGGUGCACUUGUAAGGGAUUUUGAAUGAG